GCAGGUGUAACACAAUGGUUAGUGUAUCAGCCCUCCAAGCUGAGAACAUGGGUUCAAUUCCCAUCACUUGCUCCA
rnacentral:tRNA from 1 species